UACGUAGGGGGCAAGCGUUGUCCGGAUUUAUUGGGCGUAAAGAGCGUGUAGGCGGCCAAGCAGGUCCGCUGUGAAAACUCGAGGCUCAACCUCGAGAGGUCGGUGGAAACCGUUUGGCUAGAGUCCGGAAGAGGAGAGUGGAAUUCCCGGUGUAGCGGUGAAAUGCGCAGAUAUCGGGAGGAACACCCGUGGCGAAAGCGGCUCUCUGGGACGGUACUGACGCUGAGACGCGGAAAGCGUGGGGAGCAAACAGG
rnacentral:rRNA from 1 species